rnacentral:rRNA from 1 species
UACGGAGGGGGCUAGCGUUGUUCGGAAUUACUGGGCGUAAAGCGCGCGUAGGCGGUUUGUCGCGUCUGCCGUGAAAGUCCGGGGCUCAACUCCGGAUCUGCGGUGGGUACGGGCAGACUAGAGUGAUGUAGGGGAGACUGGAAUUCCUGGUGUAGCGGUGAAAUGCGCAGAUAUCAGGAGGAACACCGAUGGCGAAGGCAGGUCUCUGGGCAUUAACUGACGCUGAGGAGCGAAAGCAUGGGGAGCGAACAGG